rnacentral:rRNA from 1 species
UACGAAGGGUGCAAACGUUGCUCGGAAUUAUUGGGCGUAAAGCGCGUGUAGGCGGUUUGUUAAGUCUGUUGUGAAAGCCCUGGGCUCAACCCGGGAAGUGCACUGGAUACUGGCAGACUUGAAUACGGGAGAGGAGAGUGGAAUUCCUGGUGUAGGAGUGAAAUCCGUAGAUAUCAGGAGGAACACCGGUGGCGAAGGCGGCCUUCUGGACAGUGACUGACGCUGAGACGCGAAAGCGUGGGGAGCAAACAGG